UAUUUAACGUGUACAAAAACUCCAUUAAAUUACUUAGUAUGUAUAAAUUAUCAAAUUUUAAAGAUGUGGUGCAGCUGCCCCAACGGUAGCUAGAAGGCCUACUGUUCUACAGUGUGGAUAUCAGUAUUAUCACCAAGACAGGAAAAUGAAGACCAUUCUGUUUCUAGCAAUAUUUGCCGUCAUGUAUUCACAUACAGUUGGCAUUGGUGAUCCUUGUUCAGACUGUCAAACCACUUACACUAAUGGUGGCAAAACCUGCACGUAAGAUUACGUCUUUUAUCAUCCAUUAAAGGCUUUUGUAAGAGAUAUCGCUGGCACUAUAAAUUGCAAUAUCUCCUGCGAUAUCUCCGCAAUA